rnacentral:lncRNA from 1 species
CCAAGUCCAAGUCCAGCUGAAUUGGAAGGGAUAAGUGGGAGAUGUACGUUAUUUUGUUUAUUUUUAAAUUCUGUGGGUGCAUGUUUGUGUAAUUGCCCAAUAACUAGGCGACUCCACACUGCAUCUCCAGAUGUCAGUACGGGCCUACUUAAAAGCUCUACCUUUAGGCCCAUAUUGGCCCGCCAUCAGGCCUCGAGAUUUGAGGACUACACCCCAGCCACAACAUAUUAUUUCCUUAAUUACUAGUAUUUUGUAUUUUCUUCAUUUAUUGCUUUGCCUAGCC